AUGACUUGUGAUCUUGAUGGGGAAAGUAAUAAAGACAAAAAAGAAAGGCCCAAAAUAUCAUCUUAACAUCAAAUACGUUCCUCAUCGAGGGACCAGUUUGUUAAACUUAUGUUUGGAAAAUGACGGAGUGCUAGGAGCUUGCUCCAUCUCCGGGUUGAUCCGGCAUUGCAGUACCGCCGGGACCGGCCCACGAAAU